GGGGGUGGAUCGGGCCUGGUGGCUCGCCUGGUCUUCAAAACCUGUGUGAGGGCUGAGUAAGUUCUCGGGUGGGUUCGAUUCCCACACGCCCCC
rnacentral:tRNA from 1 species